AAGGUUGUUCUAACAAGUCCGAUAGAGUCAUGAUAUAACAAUAUUGUUACAACCUUGUCUCAUCAACUUUGUAACAUUCUUGUUAUAUCAUGACUGUAUCAGACUUGUUAGAGCAACUUU
rnacentral:miRNA from 1 species